AUUUAAGCCUCAUAUAUAAAGUUGUAACUUUUUUUAGAA
rnacentral:tRNA from 1 species